GCGCCGGUAGCUCAGGUGGAUAGAGCGUGGGGUUGCGGACCCCAAGGUCGGAGGUUCGAGUCCUCUCCGGCGUACCA
rnacentral:tRNA from 1 species